rnacentral:rRNA from 1 species
GACGAACGCUGGCGGCGUGCCUAAUACAUGCAAGUUGAGCGAUGAAGAUUGGUGCUUGCACCAAUUUGAAGAGCAGCGAACGGGUGAGUAACGCGUGGGGAAUCUGCCUUUGAGCGGGGGACAACAUUUGGAAACGAAUGCUAAUACCGCAUAAUAACUUUAAACAUAAGUUUUAAGUUUGAAAGAUGCAAUUGCAUCACUCAAAGAUGAUCCCGCGUUGUAUUAGCUAGUUGGUGAGGUAAAGGCUCACCAAGGCGAUGAUACAUAGCCGACCUGAGAGGGUGAUCGGCCACAUUGGGACUGAGACACGGCCCAAACUCCUACGGGAGGCAGCAGUAGGGAAUCUUCGGCAAUAGACGAAAGUCUGACCGAGCAACGCCGCGUGAGUGAAGAAGGUUUUCGGAUCGUAAAACUCUGUUGGUAGAGAAGAACGCUGGUGAGAGUGGAAAGCUCAUCAAGUGACGGUAACUACCCAGAAAGGGACGGCUAACUACGUG